rnacentral:lncRNA from 1 species
GUUAUUUUACGAUCUAACAAUAUACAAGGCGAUGGAAAACAAGAUUUCUUAACAACACAAAAUAUGGAGUUUGAUAGUAAGAUAUGAGCAGUUACAGAUGAGUAUGAAUAAAAUCGGAACGGAUGGAGCAAGUAUUAGAGAAAAUGGAAACCCUAGUUGCAGAGAGAGAGAGAGAGAAAGUAACGGAAGAUUGUAAAAGAAGAA